AGAGUUUGAUCCUGGCUCAGGAUGAACGCUAGCGGGAGGCCUAACACAUGCAAGCCGAGCGGUAGAGUCUCUUCGGAGGCUUGAGAGCGGCGCACGGGUGCGGAACACGUGUGCAACCUGCCUUUAUCUGGGGGAUAGCCUUUCGAAAGGAAGAUUAAUACCCCAUAAUAUAUGUCAAGGCAUCUUGAGAUAUUGAAAACUCCGGUGGAUAAAGAUGGGCACGCGCAAGAUUAGAUAGUUGGUGGGGUAACGGCCUACCAAGUCAAUGAUCUUUAGGGGGCCUGAGAGGGUGAUCCCCCACACUGGUACUGAGACACGGACCAGACUCCUACGGGAGGCAGCAGUGAGGAAUAUUGGACAAUGGGUGAGAGCCUGAUCCAGCCAUCCCGCGUGAAGGACGACGGCCCUAUGGGUUGUAAACUUCUUUUGUACAGGGAUAAACCUUUCCACGUGUGGAAAGCUGAAGGUACUGUACGAAUAAGCACCGGCUAACUCCGUGCCAGCAGCCGCGGUAAUACGGAGGGUGCAAGCGUUAUCCGGAUUUAUUGGGUUUAAAGGGUCCGUAGGCGGAUCAGUAAGUCAGUGGUGAAAUCUCAUAGCUCAACUAUGAAACUGCCAUUGAUACUGCUGGUCUUGAGUAAGGUAGAAGUAGCUGGAAUAAGUAGUGUAGCGGUGAAAUGCAUAGAUAUUACUUAGAACACCAAUUGCGAAGGCAGGUUANU
rnacentral:rRNA from 1 species